rnacentral:lncRNA from 1 species
CCCUUAAAGCAGGCUAAGGGGUGCGGCACCGGCGUGGCGGUGGAGGGUGCUGGCAGCGGGUGUGGCGGGUGUUGUUCUUUUAAAAAAAUAACACCCUCACGAAUCGACAAAUAACUUUGUUAUUUGUUGCUUCACAGAGGCAACUUUGUGCUUUGUGAGUUAUCAGCUUUUGAUGAUUCACGAAGCGGGACGACUUGCUAAAAUGGUCAGUCGUCUCCAUCUCUAAUUUCAUCACAUGGUCUGAUACUCUACACUUGAAUUCUAUAUACAAAAGGCCUCUGUUUCAACAAAUGAGCAGAGUGGAAAUUGGUUUGUUGAAUGGAGCUCCCCCAAACCAGCAUCUCUUGGAAACCAUCAGAAGUAGAGCCCUCUGGUGCGUACCCACCUGUUUGUUCUCUUUCUUCCAGUACUGAACUUUGCUUGGGAUAGCAGAAUGUUUAUAAUUGAAAUCUGACCAUCCCACUUGAGUUUCCUCUUGUUCUACGUGUACAGACAAAUUUAAGGGAAGCCAAAAAUUGGAUGUCUUUUGUUUGCCCAAGUGUUUGUAGUUUUAUGUGUAACCGGCAGCCGGGAAUUCGUUUAUUUUUUUCUUUGUUCUCUUCAAUCAACCUGAUGAUGUCUUUGCCAAGAUAUGUUUGUGUUGGCUAUUCCUGAAUUCCAUAAUUUAUACUGUACUUGUUUCUUUGUAGCUGAUGCAGAACAUGAGUUUCUACCUCCUGUUAAAACUCCCGCUGAUGAUGUAGUCGGCAUAAAGGCAGCCUCUCUACCAGCACCACAGCUUUCUGUUGCUCUUCAGAACAUCUCCCUCAAGCAUCCUUGGAUUGAAAUACAAAACACAGUACAUAAUCUUUGUGGUGGCCGGCAAAACCGAAGGGACAGUGAUGUAUUUGCUAUUGAGGUCAUCCAGGAUAAUGCUGAAAAUGUGGCUGAAGAAGAGCACAUAGAAGCAGAAACUGAAGAUGCAGGUACUUAUUUCUGCAUGAUGUGAAAGAAUGAAACACAUAGUUUGUGCAGUAUUUUCUGCACCCUCUUCAGUGCCAUUACCGCUGUUACAAGGGUCAAAGCGAAUGAAGUCAAACGAAGGGGAACAGAUGUCAUUGCGGAAUCCUAAGGAUAUGUGUUAGCCUUCUCUGGCAUCCUAUUGUCUGUAGCGAGGGAUGGCACAGAAAUAAGGAUGGCUACCCUCUUACUCUGGAUGACAUGGCUAGGUGGCUUAGUGCGGCUGCACUCUUUCCUGUGACGCUCUCUUGAUCUUGGCCAGUCAGAUUCAGGAUUGGCCUGCUAAGGGAGCAGGACUUUCUUUGCAGACCUGAAGCAGAGAGCAUCCGUCUCUGAUCUGCCUAGAAAACAGCUGCCUAGAGUGGUCAUACCGACCAGAUAGGCAGGAUAUAAAUUGAAUGAAUGAAUGAAUGAAUGAAUAAAUGAAUGAAUGAAUAAAUGAAUAAAAGAUGA